GGAGUGGGCCGGGCGAUCGCUCGGCGGGGCGCCGUGGCAACCCGCCGGGAGGAAAGUCCGAACUGGUCAGGGCACGGUGGUCGUUAACGGCGACCCGGAGCGAUCCGAGGGAAAGUGCCACAGAGAACAGACCGCCUACGGAUCCGGCUUCGCGGCCGGGUCCCGGCAAGGGUGAAACGGUGCGGUAAGAGCGCACCGCGUCGUCGGUGACGGCGACGGCACGGCAAACCCCACCGCCAGCAAGCCCAUGUAAGCAGCCAUCGGCUCCUCGCGAGCCGGCGAUGCGGCCCGUAUCGUGCGACGCUUGCGUCGCGAGAGCCGCGGGUAGGGUGCACGAGCCGAUUGGAAACGGUCGGCCCAGAUGAAUGAUCGCCGCGGCGGCGGAAACGUCGCCGGACAGAAUUCGGCUUACAGGCCCGCUCCGUCU
rnacentral:RNase_P_RNA from 1 species